AGCGAACGCUGGCGGCAGGCCUAACACAUGCAAGUCGAACGAACUCUUCGGAGUUAGUGGCGGACGGGUGAGUAACACGUGGGAACGUGCCUUUAGGUUCGGAAUAACUCAGGGAAACUUGUGCUAAUACCGAAUGUGCCCUUCGGGGGAAAGAUUUAUCGCCUUUAGAGCGGCCCGCGUCUGAUUAGCUAGUUGGUGAGGUAAAGGCUCACCAAGGCGACGAUCAGUAGCUGGUCUGAGAGGAUGAUCAGCCACAUUGGGACUGAGACACGGCCCAAACUCCUACGGGAGGCAGCAGUGGGGAAUCUUGCGCAAUGGGCGAAAGCCUGACGCAGCCAUGCCGCGUGAAUGAUGAAGGUCUUAGGGCUGUAAAAUUCUUUCACCGGGGACGAUAAUGACGGUACCCGGAGAAGAAGCCCCGGCUAACUUCGUG
rnacentral:rRNA from 1 species